GAGAGAGAGCCCAAAUGUGACAAGGCUGCAGAGCAGAGUAGAGUCCUGCAAGAGAGGCUUUAGGGAAAAUGCAGGCUCAGCUGUCUGCAAUCACCUGGGUUUAAAAGGCAGGAAGGAAGGAAGACUGGUUGGCAAGAGACCUGGGCCUUUGAUGCCUUCCAUACCACAGAGGAAAAUGCCCAUUCUUCCCGUUAGAAGUCUGUUGGCUUUCCUAAUUAAGAGCAUCAGUUAGAAGCUGAACAUGGAGCUGGAAGAACUGAGUAGUCUCGAUCCUUGUGGAAGAGCAGACAUCUGGAGAUGGGGUCGAAACAGCAGAAGACGCAUUUUCUCAAGGUCAUGUGGCACAUUUCUUACAACAUUAGACAAAAAAGGAAGCUUAAUUUGUCCACAACGAUUAAAAAUACAAAGUGUGUUAGAUGAUUAAAUGGAAUUUGAAAUUAGUCUUAAGACACUGAUAAACUUAAAAACACUUGAAUGUCAAAUAGUGAAAACAAAAAUUAUAUCUUAAAAGCCCUUGAAGUAUUUUAGGUGUCCUUAUAGCACAUAUACGAAAACAUGUUCUUCAUGGUUAUCUCCCCCAUUUCCCAAACUCCUUGUUCUCUCAUAUCUUUCCAUCCCCAGUGCCCUCCCCUGAUCUUAAUGUCCUGUGUGUCAUUACCUUUCUAAAGCUUCAUCCUUCCUUGGAGUCCCCUUUUAUUUUAUGACUGUUUCUGCGAUUUUUCUGAAAUAGGAAUUUAUAGCUGUAAAUUUCCUUUUAGAACUGCUUUCAAUGAACCACACAGGUUCUGGUAUUUGGCAUUUUAUCUGUAACUCAAUUUUAGGAUUUUUUUUCUUUUUUCUUUUUGUUUUUUUGAGACAGGGUUUCUCUGUAUAGUCCUGGCAGUCUUGAAACUCACUCUGUAGACCAGGCUGGCCUCAAACUCAGAAAUCCACCUGCCUCUGCCUCCCAAGUGCUGGGAUUAAAGGUGUGCUCCACCACCACCUGGCCCAAUUUUAGGAGUUUUUAAGUUCUCACCUGAUGUGUUUAAUAAGCCACUUAAUAAUUUGUUCAAUGUCCUUGAAUUUGUGUAUCUUUUAUUGCUUCUUUGCUGUUAUUAGUUUUCAAUUGAAAUUAGAUAACAUAGAAGAUAUUCUUUCAAUAAUUCUUGUACGUGUUAAGACCUAGUAUGUGUUCUAAAAUGUGGUCUACUUUACAGAAAGUUCCAUAAACUGCCAAGAAGAACACAUUUCUGCUGUUUUGUGUAAAAUAUUUGUAAAACACAUUUGAUCUAAUAAGUUUGAUGUCAUUUUCUUUUAUUUUUGUGAGAUUUGGGUAUUUAUUGAAAUCUCUCAUUGUAUUUAGCUCAACUAUGACUUUACAUCAAAACGACUCAUUUUUAUAAAGUUAGGCACACUAAUAUUUAGUGAAUAUAUGUUUAGAAUUGGAACAUUUUCUUAAUAGGUUAGAACCUUUUUUUUAACUUGUAGGAAGACAUCUAUGAGAGUUUCAAAUCUCACAAAGCAAUCAAAGUGAAUCAUAUAUCCAUCUAUUCAGCUCUCAAAUGAAUUUUAAGGCAUCAAAUUGAUCCUUGAAAAGGCACACCAAGGUUGGACAGUAUAAUGAACAAAUUGUGGUACCAGUAUUAGGAUCCACAUGUAAAACUAUGGAAUCCAGUUAAACCAGUCCAUACCUAAGUUUUAAAACCAAGAUGGGCAUAAAUGUCAGAACCGUAGAUUUAAUGGUGAAUUUUCUGUUAUGGAGCCAAAAGCAUGAGCAACAGAAAAGAAAACCAGUAUGUAGAUCUGACUUAAAACUGGCUUUCACGGUAGUGAAAAUACAACCCAUAGUGGACACAUAAGGGAAUUGAAUCUAGAAAACAUAUACAAGUCUCACAGCAACAUAAUAAAAGGACCCAAUUUUAAAUAAUGGUCAAAUAAAUGUAAUAGACAAUCUAGUAAAGAGAUAUACAAAUAGAUAAUAAACACACAAACAACAGUCUGUCUUAUUAGUCUUCAGGGAAAUAUAAGUCAACAAUUGCAAAAAGGCACUAUUUCAUAACCAAGUUGGAUGGCUGUAUUAAAAUGUCAGAUUAUAGCAAGAGCAAGAGAGGAUGAGCAUAACUCAGAAUCCUCAUACACUAUGAGGAGGCUGUAAAUUAGUGCAGCCUCAUCCUGGUAUGAAAAUAUCCUGGUAAUUCUUCAAAUGCCUAAUUACAGAAGAACCAUAUAAUGGCAUAAUCUCACUUCUUGAUGUAUUCAUCUAAGAGAAAUGCAAAAAAAAAAUAGUCACAGAAAAAUAGUACACAUUUCUAGCAACAUUAUUUACAAUAGCCAGAAAGUUGAGACCAUUUAAAUAUCUAUGAACUGAUGAACCAAUAAGCAAAAUAUGGUCUACCCAUGUAACAUAAGAUUAUUAUUCAUUCAUGCUUCAAUAUGAAAAAGUUUCUGAAACUCUAUGCUAAGUAAAUAAUGUCAUUGGUAACGUAUGGCUCUAUUUUUAUAAAAUGUAAAGAAUAGGAAAUGUACAGACACUAAAAGUAGGGUGCUAUAUAAAAUUGGGAGGAUGAAAGGAAAGAUACACUAUUUUAUGUGAGGUAGUAAAAAUGGUCAAAACUAGUUGUCAUGAUUGUUGAAAAAACAUCAAAUCCACUGAAUUAUAAACUUGAAAGGAUCAACUAUGUGUUACAUAAAUUAUAUAUCAAGAGUGCUAAUAUAAAAAAUACAUGUGUUAACAUCUCACCUAGACAUACUGGUUUAGUUGUAUUCAUGUAGAUAGAUCAGGAUGGAGAAAUGGAAUCAGCAUUAACAGACAAAAUAAGAUAACAAAAACUUAAUAUGAGACGCCAAGGUCUUAACUCAAAAUCUUUAAAUUGUGACCGCUGACUGGUAUAACUGAGUGAAAAUAUAUAUCACAGCUUUCUCAGAUUUUAAUAGAUGAAUCUUUCCAACAGACCACUAGUUACAGCCUUACAGAACUCUUUUCCAAUUAAUUCAUUAAUUAACUAAAGUGAAUUAUUUAUUCACUUUACAUUCAGAUCAUAUCCUACCCUCUUUUCCUGGUCUCCCUUCAAACAGCCCCUCCUCCACACUUCCUUUUUUUUUUUUCUCCUCCGAGAAGGGGAAGGUCCUGUUUUUGUGCUUAUUCUUUUGCUUACUUCAAGUCCUUUUUUGGUUUGUUGGAGAUAGUGUUAUACCAUCCCUGGGUACCAACCCACCCUGGCACAUCAAGUCACUCAAGACUAGGUACAUCCUCUCCCACUGAGGCCAGACAAUUCCAGCCCAUGUAUCAUCUUUGGUUGUUGGUUCAGUCUCUGGGAGCUCUCAAGGGUCCAGGUUAGUUGAUUCUGUUGGUCUUCUUGUAGAGUUCCUAUCCCUUCUUGGUCCCUCAAUCCUUCCCCCCAACUCUUCCACAAGACUCCCUGAGCUACAUAUAAUGUUUAUCUGUGGGUCUCUGUGUCUGUUUUGGUCAGUUUCUAGGUGGAUCCUCUCAGAUAACAGUUAUGCUAGGCUCCUGUCUGUAAGUAUAACAGGGUAUUAUUAGUAGUGUCAGGGAUUGGUUAUUGUACUACUCUACAGUUGGCCCAUCAGGAUUCUGCAACUGUCUGUGAGUACUGUAGGUCUGUCUACUGUUUGCCUAUUUUAAUAUAAGUGUCUGAUAAUGCUCUUUUGUUUUUGUAUUCAUAUCAGUGUAGAAAAAGUAAAGAGUUAUCUUUCUCACAGUCAUGGGACCACCAGGAACUAACUUAACUUGAAUAAAGAAAAACAACAACUUAGUAACAUUAAUCUCAAAAAAGUAAGUGAAAUGUUGCUUUUUGGGAGACUGGACUGUGUUCCAUUGUGUAGAUAGCAGGGAGUGCGUGACUAUUAUGAAUGACCAGAAAGAUAGAAGAUGGAAUCAGUACCUAGAUAAAAACAGAAACUUCAUGGUUCUUGCUUAGGCCAUGCAGCUUUAUUUUCUUGUCUGUCUUAAAUUUAAUUGUUGCAACAUGAUAGGUCCUAACUAGAAGAACUUUGGUUGUCAUAUCCAGCCCCAUUAAGACUUAUUGUACAUAUUUUCCAUUAUUUUCUCCCCUGUCUGCUGGCUUGUAGGGACUCAUCUCUAGGGUGAUCAUGGAAGCAUCCCACUAUAGUAACUAUACUUCGUCAUGCAGGUCCUUAAAGGAUAUCUUGGAGCAUGGCUCCACCCACAUGGCUUACCAUUGGGGAAUUAUUUAUAUUGCAAGAAUUUGUAUCAUUAAUUUGCCUCAAAAAUGACCUCCACUGACUUAUACAUAAUUCUCAACAUUUCAUUUCCCCUGAACCCACUGAGUGUGAUACAUGUUUAUCUCUGAGUAAAUGUUUUCCCUUUCCGGUUUAUACAUACUCUAUAGAUAAAGAAUUUAGUUCUUUGAUUGUUUAAGGUAUAGAAAGAAUUCCAUCUUGAGUUUUGUGUCUUCUUGCAUUACUGGUGGCUUCUUUUCUGGAACUCUUAGUUAAAUUUAUGGUAUAUAUGUAAUUUAUAUUUUGUUAAUCUGAGAAACAUAAACAUAUUGCUCUCUAGGAAGUGUAAGCACAGUUGCAGGGGGGAAGGAGAGUCAGGCAAGAUAAGUACAUAUUAUGUCCAUUGCAUUUUCUUUCCUCAUGAGGUAUAUUUAACAACUUUUUUUUUUGCGUGAAGGAGAAGAAAUACAUUUAGAUCUGCAGCAGUCAGUCUGGAUUUGUAGACUUUUUAAUAGAUUUGGAUUACCAUUAAAUAAAUUUGAUGGAUAACUGCAGAACCAACUAAUAAUAAUAUACUAUACAUGAACUAUAUACAACUUUAAUUUGGCCCUCAUUUCAUAUUGGUAGUAUAUUGUAGCAUUCUCCCCAAUAUUUUCACUUGCAAUGCUAGAGAAAAAUUCUGGAAAGUAUUUACCAAAAAAAAAAAAAAAAAAAAAAAGAGUGUUACUCAUUUAAAUAAUUUAUUUUUCAAUCAGGAACAUCAGUGUGAUGAUUAAUACCCUGCAUUCGUUUUUUCUUUUUAAGAAACCUGGAACAAAGAGGCUUGUACAGUGUAUAUAUAUAUAUAAUUCAUUUAGGUGUUGAAGUCUGAGUCUACAUUUGUGAGAGGAAAAUUCAAAGGCGCCAUAAUUAAUAUGUCAGUCUAGGAGGAGCAGUGGAUGCGGGGGUGGAAGUUAAUGCAACUACCUGAUGUUCAGGGGAGGAAGGGGGAAAUUAGUCAGUGCGCAAGAAAAGGCCCAGCUUUCCUGUCUUCUUUCUUUGAGUUCAUGCCAAGACAAACAGGUAUAUCCGUGAGUAUCUCCAUCUGGAGGUGUGGAAAGUGUAGGUUAAGUGUAAUGGGCAGCAGUACAUUUUGAGAGGAAGUCUGAAAGGUGUAUUAGCUAGAAAGGCCAAAGUUGUUUUUCUCUGCUAUGCUGCUAUUUUUUUAUAUGAAAUGAAAGAUUGCCUCUGAACACUCCCAUCUUUUACUUUCUCUCUUGAUUAAAGAGAAUUGACAGAUGUCUCCUUUACACUUCCCCUAUUAAUACAACAUGUUAUUCUGAAGAUAGAAAUGCCAUACAAACUUGUAUGCAUCUAGGAAAAAGAAGACAGGCACCAGUUGUUCCAGAGAUGCACUGGAUCCACUAUCACUAUCACAAGAUUUGGAUAUUUUCAUCUAGGGAUAAAUGUUUUCUGGAGUUUUUCUCAGACUGCUCUUCAAGUCCUUCCAAUAACAUUUGGUUGGUUCUGUUCUUUUGAAUGUACAUUGGACCAGUAAGGACUUCCAUUCUAUCACUGUGACAAAACUUGUCGGAACAACCCUAGUAAGAAAGUACCACUUUUUUUUUUUUUCUUAAGUUAUAAUUCUGGAUGAUUGAAGAGUCAUCAUAAGGAUGGGAGGUAUGAUUUUUUCUAUAGGCUCUUUUGCCCAGAGUUUUCUUCUUUGCUCAAAUUUAUUACCGAAUCAUACGAGAGGGGAAAUCUAAAGUUUUCCAGGGGAUACUCUCUGUAUACUUUGUAGGAAAUGAGAAACUUUUAGUUUAAUUAUAGAAACUAAAUGGCCUUUUAACCUAUUAUUUUAGAACUUUGAAGUGAAAGGGAAUGGGUCUAUGAAGGAGAAAGGAUACCGGUCAUAAUGGUCAAAUAUUGGUAAGAGCUGUUUCUGGUUGAGAUAACUUUUUUUUUCUUUUUUUCUUUUUGAGAUGCUGAUCUCAGGACCCACCACAGGAAAAGGACGUUCAAAAUGAAAUGUGAGGAGGAUCAAAGAAGAGUCAGAACAAAAUCAAAUCAUGUUUCAACUCUAUUAUGUAUGUGAAAAGAGUAUUAGUAGAGCCCUCUGCAUUAAGAGGAGAAACGGGAUCUGCUCGGUGCACGAUUUACUUGGGACACAAAUUAGCGAAGAGACAGAAUUCUUGGGGUCUAGGUUUCAUGAUGUGGGGCCCACGGCCUGCUGCACUGCCUGCCACGGAUGUGGUUUCUGUGCUUUCUCUCACACCACCAACGCUGUCUGGCAGAAACUGGAACCACGCGGCUGUCUUUCUUCCAUAUCGAAGGGCUGUGCUGUGCAAAGCAUUGCUUCACGCUGCUUUCCUGAUCUGCUUUGCAUAACUGCCUGGAAAAGAGUACUUCUGUGGAUAGUCCAAAAGAGAGAGAUGCACUGAACACUAUUUUACUCGGGCAUAUUCCAUGGGUUAAAUGCAUUAAAAUUCUAUUACAGUGAAAUUCUAUAUAAGGGGCACAUUUUUCAAAUCCUGACAAUGGACAUCUAGCUUAAGAGCAUAUUUGAUACACUCUAAUUAGAAAGCAACUGAAUAGUUAGGAUAGUUGUUUUAAAAUGUAGGAUUUUAGUGGUCUGUGAGAGUUCUUGAUUCAAUUUUUGGAAGGGGCCUCAGAGAUAAUAUAGUCCAGGGAUAGAAAAUAGAUUCAUCUCGUGUGCCAAAUUUGAUCAGUUGGUGGUGGUUGCCUGGAGAGCAGUGCUAAGAAGGAAUUUAUGGUGAAGUCCAGACUCAGUGGGGAAAAGUGCAGGGAUAGAUUUUUUUUCACGUCUACCACGGUUGACGAAAGAGAGAACGGUACCAUAUGCACCAUGUAUUUGCCGACUCGACACAGUCUCCCACUUUUACAAAAUUAGAAAAGUUAGUCUAACGUUACAUUCCUAGUUAGCAGAAGAGCCCAGUCUUUUUAGCUUAGUAUUUCCCCAAAGCCCUCUCCAAAUGGAUUAAGCGACAAGCACUAACAAAAGUACUCAGAUAGAGUCUUAUAUACCAUUUCAGCAAAUACUUGCUAAGUUCCUCUUUACCAAGGAAUCACCAAACAUUUAAUGAGCAUGUACUAUGUGCUAGGUAGUGUUUGGCAUCGUCGAUAAGCUUGUGUAGCAGUAGUUGAUCAUUCUUUUUCUAUUGGAAAAAAGGUGGUAGAUUGUGUUGUCAUUUGUCUCUACCAUAUUGUUUUGUGUUCACUAAUGACCAAUUGAUUCCUGCUUCAAACCCAAAAGUUACAGCACCUAGACACCUGAGAGAGACAGACAUUUUUCAUCCUGGGUGUUUUGUUUGGCCUUUGGACUUUGAUAAAUCUUAGAAAAUGGAAUUAUAUUCAAAUGAAUCGGCAGCACAUAAUGGACCUGGUUUUUAAUAACAGGUGUCUAACGUGUGCAUGCGACAAGUAAAAUAUGCUGAUGCAAAUGGAUGAUUGCAUGUGCAAAAAUAUGCAGAUUAAUGUGCAAGCAGAUGUUCAAAUAAUUUCCCAUUAUUGCGUGCCAUUACCCUUUGUGAAUGCACAACUGCAUAUUUUGUAUACAGAUACAUUUUCAUCGUUUGUAUUUCUUGAGUGCACUUUGUACAAUCUUUGCAAAGAUUGGUAUCUCACACUCUUCACUGGGAAGCUUUAACCUUCCAGUGCAAGUUUGGUUCCCUGAGAGAGCUCUCUGCAUGAAGAAGAAAACACUAUGGCCCACCAUUAGAAAACUCAAUAUCACCAGAAGAUAAAUACUAAUUUUUAUCUGCCUCUCUUUGUUAGAAGUGUGGUCCUUUCCUAUCAAUACAGCUUUUGAUGUCAGUGUAAUAAAAUGUGAAAUCUGUGCAGAUUCUCAAACUGUCAAAACAACAGUAUGUCCUUAAAACUUAUCUUGCUCUUCUUGGUAAGUAUUUAAUGCUUUAUUUUGUUGGUUUUUCUUACAUCUCUGUUCCCACAGAGUUGCUGGUGCUCACAGAUAACCCUAUGAAUUAUGUCUUCCAUUGUGAGGCAAAAGAAAACUUGGUUUUAUGAUGAACUUUUGUGAGAUUUUUCUUGUGUCUGGACAAUUUUAGAUAUCAGAUCAAGUAUCAGAAAAUAAAAUAAAGGAAGAAUCUUA